AAUGUGAAACUUCAAAAACUCCCUCUGCCUUCCAUUUCUCUGCUUUCUUCAAUGGUUACAGUUUCGUUGAUGUAGCUUCUCGUCUAAUCUAUUGCAUCCUUAUUCCUCUUCAAGGAUGCUCUCUGUUCUUGCUUUCUUAAAGCUACAAACAUCUCCCUAUUCUCUCUUUUGACAAGGAUAUCAGCAGCCUUCAUAUACAACUCAUCUCCUUCUACAAUUCCAGGCAACCCCCUUAAAGUUUCCAUUACCUCAAGUGUACUACAUCCUGGUAAAUCUCUUCUUCUGUAUUCUAUAGCAUCACAAAGACGAUCUAAUGCCUCGAACAACCUCGAAGAAGACGAUCCAACUUUUGAAUCUUCUACUUUUUUUCUCCUUUUCUCAUUUCCUUGACUAUAAGUUGCACUCGUAUUAACUUCAUUUGUGUUAGUGUUACUUUCUACAUUGUUAAUAAACUCAUUCUCAUUCAA